AGGGAGGUGAUUUUUCGAUUUAACCAAGAGUUUUCCAGCCAAUGUGAAAAACCGGAAAAUGAAAUGCCUAUUUUUACCAUUAUAUAACAUUUGUUGAAAAAGCAUCACAAUCAACCGAACUCCUAUCAGAAUCGUUUUUCGUCACAUAUAAAAGUGGGUACACCUGACCCCAUUAUCCUAAGACAGAUUUUUUAACGCGGAUAAUAUUCUAUUUUCAUAUUUUUUAGUACUUAACUCUAGAAUUUUAAUAUCUGCAUUAUUUAUAUUAUCUACACCACAUUAACUCAUUAACUAUUAACACUUUUAGCGAAUUCCUCUGGACCAAAUUAAAAACGGUGACCGCGGUUGAUCCGUAGGCAGAAUUAUGUGAUAAAAGUGAUAAAGGAUGUAGUAUACGAAUAUCAAUACGAAUUGAGCCGUGCGCUUGCGAAGGAGCGUUUUUCUCGCUUUGUACGCCCCUACAGACCCACACGAGACCAAAGAGAUAAACGUACGGUGUUCGUAUAUCGGGUAUAACGUGCCUUCCGAUGUUUUCCGCGUUCAACCCCAUACCGUUUAUACGAGCAAAUUACGCAGUUUAUUUUAUUUUUUAUUUUUUUAUUUUUUUUUGAGGGUAAUUUUUUAUUCUAUGCAUUUAUCGUCUCCGUGAAAUCGAUUAAACAAAUUGAUGUAAAGAGGCUGCGUAAUAUAAUUACACCGGAUCAGGGACUCGACGAUUGAGAUUAUAUUCGAACAUUAACACGGAGGGGGAAGGUUGUUAUUUUUUUUAUUUUUCGAGACACUCCGUGAAAUUUUACGAGUUUGUUUUUUUUUUUUUUUUUUUUUUUUUUUUAAUAUAUACAAAACUGGUACCGUAAAAAUAACGCGCUGCUAUAUCACGAAUAUAUUUUAUACCGGACGUUUAUGAUGAUUGACGUUCGUUCGUUGCGUAAUACACAAAACUCGGCAACAAUAAUAGUAUAUUGUAUUAUCAAUGUUUGUUUCUUAAACAUUAUAAACACAAACAAAGCCUUUAAUGUUUGUUGUUAUGAUUAUUAUUAUUAGGGUUCGGGACUUCCUGCUGCAUUCACGUGAUUUUCUUUGUAGCGGUCGCAGAUUAUUCCGGGUAAUCUAUACGUUUGUUUUAAAAAAAUUCGGAAAUUUAAUAAAAAGUUUGAAUUUUCAUGUUUCCGGAAAUGUUGUGAUAUUUCAGGAAAAAUGCAUAUUUUAGCAAUUUUUACCACGUGUAAACGUGCACAUUUCGUAAUUUGUUCACAUUUUUACACAUGUACAAUUGCCGGGAAAAUCGAUUUGUAUAAUUUUAAAAAAUAUUUCUUUUAAUAAAUUACUGUGGGUACAUCGGUCGCUGGUACGUGUCUCUUUGUCUAUACCGAUAUUUAUCGACGAUUAGUAUUAUGUACCUAACUGUUUUUGAGAUUUUUAUUUCUAAAAUUAUAAUAUGUUAAAUACGUUUUUUUCGAAAAUGAAAUAAAAAAUUACCCGUAAAUUUUGACGAUUUUGACUGCAUAUUUGCGUGCAUAUUCCUGAUCAUUUUCACUACAACAAGUCCCCGAACCUGACUGUUAUUAUUAUUUUGAUAUUAAACUUAUUUUUUUUUUUCGGUCACUCGCGAAAAUACAAUAUAAAAGACGUCGCGACGAGACUAUGAUACGCACAUUACAUGAUAAUACGAAAUAUUAUAAAUGUCCGUGCAUAGUGUUUUCAAUAUAACGGAUAAAUUGACGGUCGGUGUACAAACUCCCUACGAGAAGAAAAAUAAAACAUAACCGUCAAUCCGUCGCGAAAUACAAGUUUUUUGUUAUUUUAGAAAACAAACUCUAGUUAAUCCCGCGGUAUUUUAUUAUUCGCCUAUAC